AAUCCGUGUUGCGGGCACUUCCUCGGGAACUCCUUGAACCUUUCCCAUGUCUCAAAUAGAGACUCAAAUUAUGACUGUAAAAAGGAUGCAAUCUCAUUCCUAAGCUU